rnacentral:other from 1 species
UCGUCCGUCGUGUUCGCGUGAGCCAAUUAUUUCCUUGAACCGAUGCUCUAUGAGCAAGGGCUGGGAACAUCGCCUCGCUGGUGUGAGCGUCUCGCGUCAGAUGAACCCGAAGCUUGGCUGACCCGGCCCACCUGAACUUCCCUUUGGGUUCAGGAAUGCGGUUCACGGUUCACGGCGGACACC